rnacentral:rRNA from 1 species
AUUGAACGCUGGCGGCAGGCCUAACACAUGCAAGUCGAGCGAGCGGCGGCCGGGUGAGUAAUGUCUGGGAAACUGCCUGAUGGAGGGGGAUAAAUACUGGAAACGGUAGCUAAUACCGCAUACCAUCAGAAGUGCACAGAUGGGAUUAACUAGUAGGGGGGGUAACGGCUCACCUAGGCGACUAUCCCUCGCUGGUCUGAGAGGAUGACCAGCCACACUGGAACUGAGACACGGUCCAGACUCCUACGGGAGGCAGUAGUGGGGAAGAUUGCACAAUGGGCGCAAGCCUGAUGCAGCCAUGCCGCGUGUGUGAAGAAGGCCUUCGGGUUGUAAAGCACUUUCAGCGGGGAGGCGUUACCCGCAGAAGAAGCACCGGCUAACUCCGUGCCAGCAGCCGCGGUAAUAC